rnacentral:rRNA from 1 species
UGCGGAGACAUUAGUAUAGAUCGCUGUCCUUGGACAGUGCCAGUAUGUUUCGCAGGGUGAAAAGCCUAAGGCAGUCCUGGCCCGUAGCUCCCCGCCCGAUGUGCACCGGGCCUCGCGGCGGGACCCUCUUGUAUGUCCCCCACUGCCGAGGGGCGUGUUCACCCUGCCGGCGCGCCCAUACGUCCGUUGCACCCCCUCCCUCCCCCGCGCGUCGGAGACCACGCGCCGCUGGCCCCCGGGCACGCGCGGCGGUAAGUUGCGAUCCUUCAGCGAUCAGGGAGCGGAGUCCUGGCCUGGUCGGAGACCACGCGUUGCGAUCCUUCAGCGAUCAGGGCUCGGGGGUCCGGGCCGCGCGCCGUCACCCCACUCUCCGCGUACCCGACCACGUUGCUUCCCCGGGGAGGUCCCCGGGGGAGGUCCCCGAGCGCACCAUGCCGCCCAAACCCGCCCGCGCCCCCUCCGUCUGAAGGCCAGCGAGCCUACCAAACGGGGAAUCAGACAGGUAACGAAAACAAAACUUUCAACAACGGAUCUCUUGGCUCCCGCAUCGAUGAAGAACGCAGCGAAAUGCGAUAAGUAAUGUGAAUUGCAGAAUUCAGUGAAUCAUCGAAUCUUUGAACGCACAUUGCGCCCCCCGGCAUUCCGGGGAGCAUGCCUGUUCGAGCGUCUCUGGAGAGACCCCUCACGCCGGCGGAGGCGUGGUCAUGGCGGAUGUGGCGUGCCCCGAGCGGGGAGGCCACCUCGCUGGAAUCCAUGGGCGGACGCCUGCUGCGUGGCCGAGCGUGAUAUGACGCAUUGGCGCUCGCGCGCGGCGAGGCUGCCGGCCCUUGCCCGCCAGUCGGGCGGGGACAGCAACACUUGGGAACUCCUCGAAUCAGUAGGGAUACCCGCUGAACUUAAGCAUA